UACGAAGGGGGCUAGCGUUGUUCGGAAUUACUGGGCGUAAAGCGCACGUAGGCGGACUACUAAGUCAGGGGUGAAAUCCCGGGGCUCAACCCCGAAACUGCCUUUGAUACUGGGUGUCUGGAGGUCGAGAGAGGCGAGUGGAAUUCCGAGUGUAGAGGUGAAAUUCGUAGAUAUUCGGAGGAACACCAGUGGCGAAGGCGGCUCGCUGGCUCGAUACUGACGCUGAGGUGCGAAAGCGUGGGGAGCAAACAGG
rnacentral:rRNA from 1 species